rnacentral:rRNA from 1 species
GACGAACCGAGCGAACGUUGUUCGGAAUCACUGGGCUUAAAGGGCGCGUAGGCGGGUUCUCAAGUCCGGGGUGAAAUCCCACAGCUCAACUGUGGAACUGCCUCGGAUACUGGGUGCCUCGAGGGUGGUAGGGGUAUGCGGAACUAUCGGUGGAGCGGUGAAAUGCGUUGAUAUCGAUAGGAACACCAGUGGCGAAGGCGGCCGACUGGGCCGUUCCUGACGCUGAGACCCGAAAGCUAGGGUAGCGAACCGG